rnacentral:rRNA from 1 species
GACGAACCGUGCGAACGUUAUUCGGAAUCACUGGGCUUAAAGCGCGUGUAGGCGGAUGGGAACGUCGGUCGUUGAAAUCCCCCGGCUCAACCGGGGAAUGGGCGCCGAAACGACCCGUCUGGAGGGACGUAGGGGGACCUGGAACUUCCGGUGGAGCGGUGAAAUGCGUUGAGAUCGGAAGGAACGCCCGUGGCGAAAGCGAGGUCCUGGACGUCUACUGACGCUGAGACGCGAAAGCUAGGGGAGCGAACGGG